GAUGAAGAACGUAGCAAAAUGCGAUAAGUAAUGUGAAUUGCAGAAUUCAGUGAUUCAUCGAAUCUUUGAACGCACAUUGCGCCCGCUGGUAUUCCGGCGGGCAUGCCUGUUCGAGCGUCAUUUCAACCCUCAAGCCCCCGGGUUUGGUGUUGGGGAUCGGCUCUGCCCUUCUGGGCGGUGCCGCCCCCGAAAUACAUUGGCGGUCUCGCUGCAGCCUCCAUUGCGUAGUAGCUAACACCUCGCAACUGGAACGCGGCGCGGCCAUGCCGUAAAACCCCAACUUCUGAAUGUUGACCUCGGAUCAGGUAGGAAUACCCGCUGAACUUAAGCAUAUCAAUAAGCGGAGGA
rnacentral:misc_RNA from 1 species